rnacentral:rRNA from 1 species
GACGAAUGCUGGCGGCAGGCUUAACACAUGCAAGUCGAGCGCCCCGCAAGGGGAGCGGCAGACGGGUGAGUAACGCGUGGGAAUCUACCCAUCUCUACGGAAUAACUCAGGGAAACUUGUGCUAAUACCGUAUACGCCCUUCGGGGGAAAGAUUUAUCGGAGAUGGAUGAGCCCGCGUUGGAUUAGCUAGUUGGUGGGGUAAUGGCCUACCAAGGCGACGAUCCAUAGCUGGUCUGAGAGGAUGAUCAGCCACACUGGGACUGAGAUACGGCCCAGACUCCUACGGGAGGCAGCAGUGGGGAAUAUUGGACAAUGGGCGAAAGCCUGAUCCAGCCAUGCCGCGUGAGUGAUGAAGGCCCUAGGGUUGUAAAGCUCUUUCACCGGUGAAGAUAAUGACGGUAACCGGAGAAGAAGCCCCAGCUAACUACGUGCCAGCCGCCGCGGUAAGAC